UCCUGGCUCAGGACGAACGCUGGCGGCGUGCCUAAUACAUGCAAGUCGAGCGAGCUUGCCUAGAUGAUUUUAGUGCUUGCACUAAAUGAAACUAGAUACAAGCGAGCGGCGGACGGGUGAGUAACACGUGGGUAACCUGCCCAAGAGACUGGGAUAACACCUGGAAACAGAUGCUAAUACCGGAUAACAACACUAGACGCAUGUCUAGAGUUUGAAAGAUGGUUCUGCUAUCACUCUUGGAUGGACCUGCGGUGCAUUAGCUAGUUGGUAAGGUAACGGCUUACCAAGGCAAUGAUGCAUAGCCGAGUUGAGAGACUGAUCGGCCACAUUGGGACUGAGACACGGCCCAAACUCCUACGGGAGGCAGCAGUAGGGAAUCUUCCACAAUGGACGAAAGUCUGAUGGAGCAACGCCGCGUGAGUGAAGAAGGGUUUCGGCUCGUAAAGCUCUGUUGGUAGUGAAGAAAGAUAGAGGUAGUAACUGGCCUUUAUUUGACGGUAAUUACUUAGAAAGUCACGGCUAACUACGUGCCAGCAGCCGCGGUAAUACGUAGGUGGCAAGCGUUAUCCGGAUUCAUUGGGCGUAAAGCGCGCGCAGGCGGGUUGCUAAGCGGGACCUCUAAUCUUGGGGCUCAACCUCAAGCCGGGUCCCGAACUGGCAGCCUCGAGUGCGGUAGGGGUAAGCGGAAUUCCCGGUGUAGCGGUGGAAUGCGCAGAUAUCGGGAAGAACACCGAUGGCGAAGGCAGCUUACUGGGCCGACACUGACGCUGAGGCGCGAAAGCUAGGGGAGCGAACAGGAUUAGAUACCCUGGUAGUCCUAGCCGUAAACGAUGAACACUAGGUGUGGGAGAGAUUACUCUUCCGUGCCGCAGAUACAGCAUUAAGUGUUCCGCGUGGGGAGGACGGCCGCAAGGCUAAUACUCAAAGGAAUUGACGGGGGCCCGCACCAGCAGCGGAGCAUGUGGCUUAAUUAGAAGCAACGCGAACAUCCUUACCAGGGCUCGUCAUGCUAGUGAAGCCGGGGAAACUCGGCGGCCGAAAGGAGCUAGCGCAGGUGGUGCAUGGCUGUCGUCAGCUCGUGUCGUGAGAUGGUGGGUUAAGUCCCGCAACGAGCGCAACCCCUGUUAUGUGUCGCCAGCAUUAAGUUGGGGACUCUAAUGAGACUGCCGGUGACAACCCGGAGGAAGGUGGGGAUGACGUCAAGUCAUCAUGCCCCUUAUGAUCUGGGCUACACACGUGCUACAAUGGACGGUACAACGAGAAGCGAACCUGCGAAGGCAAGCGGAUCUCUGAAAGCCGUUCUCAGUUCGGACUGUAGUCUGCAACUCGCCUACACGAAGCUGGAAUCGCUAGUAAUCGCGGAUCAGCACGCCGCGGUGAAUACGUAACCGGGCCUUGCACUCACCGCCCGUCA
rnacentral:rRNA from 1 species